rnacentral:rRNA from 1 species
AUUGAACGCUGGCGGCAGGCCUAACACAUGCAAGUCGAACGAGUGGCGGACGGGUGAGUAAUGUCUGGGAAAUUGCCUGAUGGAGGGGGAUAAAUACUGGAAACGGUAGCUAAUACCGCAUACCAUCAGAUGUGCCCAGAUGGGAUUGGUCUGUUGGUGGGGUAACGGCUCACCAAGGCGACGGUCCCUAGCUGGUCUGAGAGGAUGACCAGCCACACGGGAACUAGUAAACGGUCCAGACUCCUACGGGAGGCAGCAGUGGGGAAUAUUGGACAAUGGGCGCAAGCCUGAUGCAGACAGGCCGCGUGUAGGAAGAGGGCCUUCGGGUUGUAAAGUACUUUCAGCGAGGAGGCGUUACCCGCAGAAGAAGCACCGGCUAACUCCGUGCCAGCAGCCGCGGUAAUUC